GAUGAACGCUAGCGGCAGGCUUAAUACAUGCAAGUCGAGGGGCAGCACGGUUAGCAAUAACUGGUGGCGACCGGCGCACGGGUGCGUAACACGUAUACAAUCUACCUUAAACAGGGGGAUAGCCUUUCGAAAGAGAGAUUAAUACCCCGUAAUAAAUUGAACGGCAUCGUUUGAUUUUGAAAGCUCCGGCGGUCUGAGAUGAGUAUGCGUCUGAUUAGCUAGUUGGUGAGGUAACGGCUCACCAAGGCGACGAUCAGUAGGGGAUCUGAGAGGACUAACCCCCACACUGGUACUGAGACACGGACCAGACUCCUACGGGAGGCAGCAGUAAGGAAUAUUGGUCAAUGGGGGGCAACCCUGAACCAGCCAUGCCGCGUGCAGGAAUAAGGCCCUAUGGGUCGUAAACUGCUUUUGAACGGGAAGAAAUCUAUUUACGUGUAAAUAGUUGACGGUACCGUUAGAAUAAGGAUCGGCUAACUUCGUGCCAGCAGCCGCGGU
rnacentral:rRNA from 1 species